rnacentral:other from 1 species
CGAAGGCUGCCCGGCGCGUGCUGGACUAUUUGCAUACCCUGGGGCCUUACCGAUCCUUAUGGGAGCUGUCCCCGAUUGAGCCCGUGGGCUCUUUCACACGGCGCCCACCUACAUUCGUAGGUACCCGGGAUCCAAUUUCCCACGGCCAGGGCGGCACCAUC